GGGCAGAUCAGGAACUGGCCUGCACUUUAGAGACUGAUAAGAAUAAUCUAUCUGGAUCACAGGGUCACUGUUGAGCUUCUCAUCCAUGCCCAGUACACUGACUAGAAUACAGCUGUGCUCACAGAAUAUCAAAGGAGGGAAGGCAGGGCAGACCACUCUUCCUACACCAGUCAGCUUCUCAUUUUUUGAGAACUCAGACCUUCUUUCUCUCUAACAUCACCUUGACAGUCUUUCAUUGUUUUACACUGAUUGUUUCAUUUGUUUGAGGUUUUGUUUGUUUGUUUGUUUGUUUUUUGGUGGGGGGGCUGGUUGCAGGAGAGGAAGAGGAUGUGUUUUGUUCUGUUUUUCUAUCUACCACACUCUUCUCUCUUGCCUUUGUUACUAUGGUCUCUAUCAGCCCCUUGCAGUGAUUGGAAAUGUACACUGAUUGUUUCAUUUGUUUGGGGUUUUGUUUGUUUGUUUGUUUGUUUGUUUUUUGGUGGGGGGGCUGGUUGCAGGAGAGGAAGAGGAUGUGUUUUGUUGUUUUUCUAUCUACCACACUCUUCACUCUUGCCUUUGUUACUAUGGUCUCUAUCAGCCCCUUGCAGUGAUUGGAAAUGUCUACUGUAUUCUGAGAAGCCCUCAGGACACUGCCUCCCCUUCAUGUCUCUUCUCAUACAUUUAACCAUUCUUAUGACUCUCUAGGAUUUUUACCAUCAUUUACCAUAUUUUAAGCCUUCAUGUCCCAAUAAAAAUAUAAUCAGCUUUCA
rnacentral:lncRNA from 1 species